AUCUCCUAAACUUGGCCCAGGGAAAGGGCACCAAGGUUUUGGGGUUCUGUCAGUCAUUCUGGCCAAUCAUUCAAUCAAGCUGCUCACGUCACUGUUCCAGGACUUACAAGUGGAGGCUCUUCACAGAGGCUGGGCCAGUGACGGGCCCCCAGCAGAGCUGAACAUCAUGGCCCAGAGCACGUCCAUACAGAGAGUGCAGAGACUCAUUGACUCUGUCCCUCUCACCAACCUACUCUUCACGCUGCUCUCCACCUCCUAUAAAAAGGCGUGUGUGCUGCAGCGGCAGAGGAAAGGUUCGGUCAGCAGUGACGCCAGUGCCUCCACUGACUCCAACACUUACUACGAAGAUGACUUCAGCAGCACAGAAGAGGACAGCA